rnacentral:rRNA from 1 species
GACGAACCGUGCGAACGUUAUUCGGAAUCACUGGGCUUAAAGCGCGUGUAGGCGGGCCGGCACGUCGGUCGCUGAAAUCCCCCGGCUCAACCGGGGAAGGGGCGCCGAUACGACCGGCCUGGAGGGGCGUAGGGGGACCUGGAACUUCCGGUGGAGCGGUGAAAUGCGUUGAGAUCGGAAGGAACGCCCGUGGCGAAAGCGAGGUCCUGGACGCCUGCUGACGCUGAGACGCGAAAGCCAGGGGAGCAAACGGG